rnacentral:rRNA from 1 species
UACGUAGGGGGCAAGCGUUGUCCGGAAUCAUUGGGCGUAAAGAGCGUGUAGGCAGCCCGGUAAGUCCGCUGUGAAAGUCGAGGGCUCAACCCUCGAAUGCCGGCGGAUACUGUCGGGCUAGAGUCCGGAAGAGGCGAGUGGAAUUCCUGGUGUAGCGGUGAAAUGCGCAGAUAUCAGGAGGAACACCUACGGCGAAGGCAGCUCGCUGGGACGGUACUGACGCUGAGACGCGAAAGCGUGGGGAGCAAACAGG